rnacentral:rRNA from 1 species
GACGAACGCUGGCGGCGUGCUUAACACAUGCAAGUCGAACGGAAAGGCCCUGCUUGCGGGGUACUCGAGUGGCGAACGGGUGAGUAACACGUGGGUGAUCUGCCCUGCACUUCGGGAUAAGCUUGGGAAACUGGGUCUAAUACCGGAUAGGAGCCAUCUUUAGUGUGGUGGUUGGAAAGUUUUUUCGGUGUAGGAUGAGCUCGCGGCCUAUCAGCUUGUUGGUGGGGUAAUGGCCUACCAAGGCGGCGACGGGUAGCCGGCCUGAGAGGGUGUACGGCCACAUUGGGACUGAGAUACGGCCCAGACUCCUACGGGAGGCAGCAGUGGGGAAUAUUGCACAAUGGGCGCAAGCCUGAUGCAGCGACGCCGCGUGGGGGAUGAAGGCCUUCGGGUUGUAAACUCCUUUCGCUAGGGACGAAGCUUUUUUGUGACGGUACCUAGAGAAGAAGCACCGGCUAACUACGUG